rnacentral:rRNA from 1 species
GAAAUGCGAUACGUAGUGCGAAUUGCAAUACCUCGUGAAUCAUCAAGAUUUUGAACGCACAUUGCGCUGUCUGGGAAUUCCUGGCAGCAUGUUUGUCUGAGUGUCAGCGGCACCCAACUUGUCUGGUCCUAUUGGGCCACGACAGCCUGUGGGAUUGGAGGGUCCUGGGCCCUGCCUCUUCCCAAGCCGCAGUACUCUGGUUGUCAACAACUCCAGUGCCUAUGCCUGAUGGUUGGGCUGCAUUAGUAAUAACAGGCCAGUGCAAGGCCGCCAUAGGGCAGGGGCCGUUGGCUCCUAUCACGACCCUGAUCUCAGCUCAAACAAGAAGACCCGCUGAAUUUAAGCAUAUAAUUAAGCGGAGGAAAAGAAACUAACUAGGAUUGGUCC